GAGGUCCAAUUUUUUUUAGUGGAAGCCCAAAUUCUAAAAAUCUAGCACGUCUUCAUUCCGAAUCCAACUAUUUCAACAUCAACAAAAACAAAAAAAACAAAAACAAAAACAAAAACAAAAACAAAAACAAAAAAACAAAAAAAUGAGAAGAAAAAACCUCAAUUAACACUAAGCCGAUACAUGUCUACUAUUAUUUUCAAAUUCUUUUCUCUCAAUCUCACCUAACAAAAAUCUAGGAUCUACACCAGCUUUAGUUGAAAUAAACGGUGGGAAAGUAUUGUUUUCUACUAGUUCACUCUGACUUUCUAAAAGCAAUUUCGACGUAUAGAGCAUGUUUAAGCAGGUGUCUAUAUGAUUUAAAGCAUAAAUAGAUAAAAAUGAGUAAUGAAUAAGUAUAACAUAUUUAUGAAUUUCUUGAAAUAUAUAAAUAAAGAGUAACUUUGGUAUUUAUAAAAGGGGAAAAUCGCAAGUGUUUCAAACCUAAUAACAAAGAUU
rnacentral:lncRNA from 1 species